rnacentral:rRNA from 1 species
AAUGCGUAGAGAUUGGGAAGAACACCGGUGGCGAAAGCGCUCUACUGGGUCGCACCUGAGCCUCAGGGACGAAAGCUAAGGUAGCGAAAGGGAUAUAGAUACCCCCUAGUAGUCUUAGCCCGUAAACGAUGGAUACUAGGCGGUGGUUUAGAUCGACCCAAGCCAUGCCGAAGCUAACGCGUUAAGUAUUCGCGCCUGGGGAGUACGCACAGCAAGUGUGUCACUCGAAGGAAUCGACGGGGGCCCACACAAGCGAUGAAGGAUGUGGAUUAAAUCGAUGCCACGCGACGUUCCUAGCCAGGGACCAGACAGCGCGCGAAUCUUACAGAAAGGUGAGACUGCCUGCGCGAGCACAGCAGACAGCUGAUGCAUGUCAGCAGCCAGCUCCUGUCGUGAGAUGGUGGAGGUAAGUCCCGCAGCGAGCGCAACCCUCGUCGUUACCAGCCAGCAUUAAGUCGGCAUAUGGAGGGAGCCUGCCGCUGACACAGCGGAGGAAGGUGAGGACGACGUCAAGUCAGCAUGCCCAUAGUGCUGUGGGCGACACACGUCACACAAGGGCCGGAACAAAGGGGACCAAGCUCGCGAGAGUAAGCGAAUCCCAGCAAACUCGGCCUCAGUUCAGAU